AAUUAAUAACGAUACAUUAAUGCGCCCCUUUAAUGCCACUGUGGUUUGUUUGUUAAGAUCCAAAUGUUUCUUUGAAAUGACCCUGUAGUUUAAAUAUAUAGAAAGAAAGUUAGCCUUUCCUUUUUUACAUUAAGAAAUAUCAUAUUGAGAUAUAUUGUAACUGUUGGGUAAUUAUAUUAUUUUAUUAACCAACUAAGUACAUUAUUGCCAAAAAUGACUGGUUAUUAAAAAUAACAAAUUUUCUGUAAUGGCCCUAUUUUUCUGUAAUGGCCUUGUUUUUUUUUCUGUAAUGUCCCAGUUUUUCUGUAAUGGCCCUGUUUUUCUGUAAUGGCCCUGUUUUUUUCUGUAAUGGCCCUGUUUUUCUGUAAUGGCCCUGUAUUAAUGCCCGGUUUGUCUGUAUAAAGCACAGUUAGGGUUUUUAAUAAAGUUAAUAAAAUUAAGUUGUAAAGGGUAUAUUUUUUUUUUUUGUAUUUUAUUUAAUUUAGUAACCAACAAUCAACAUUAAAGAACCAUAUAUAGGGAUCACUGUUCCUUCUGUUUUCAACACAUAACUUCUGUCAACUUAAUAUCUUGGAUAUUUGGUAUAUUAACACAUACAC
rnacentral:lncRNA from 1 species